AGAGUUUGAUCCUGGCUCAGGAUGAACGCUAGCUACAGGCUUAACACAUGCAAGUCGAGGGGCAGCAUUGGAGUAGCAAUACUUCAGAUGGCGACCGGCGCACGGGUGAGUAACACGUAUCCAACCUGCCGCUUACUCGGGGAUAGCCUUUCGAAAGAAAGAUUAAUACCCGAUGGUAUAAAGAGUUCGCAUGUUCUCUUUAUUAAAGAAUUUCGGUAAGCGAUGGGGAUGCGUUCCAUUAGAUAGUUGGCGGGGUAACGGCCCACCAAGUCUACGAUGGAUAGGGGUUCUGAGAGGAAGGUCCCCCACAUUGGAACUGAGACACGGUCCAAACUCCUACGGGAGGCAGCAGUGAGGAAUAUUGGUCAAUGGACGAGAGUCUGAACCAGCCAAAGUAGCGUGAAGGAUGACUGCCCUAUGGGUUGUAAACUUCUUUUAUAAGGGAAUAAAGUGAGGGACGUGUCCCUUUUGUAUGUACCUUAUGAAUAAGGAUCGGCUAACUCCGUGCCAGCCGCCGC
rnacentral:rRNA from 1 species